UACGGAGGAUCCAAGCGUUAUCCGGAUUUAUUGGGUUUAAAGGGUGCGUAGGUGGUUCUUUAAGUCAGGGGUGAAAGACGGCAGCUUAACUGUCGCAGUGCCUUUGAUACUGAAGAACUUGAAUGAACUAGAGGUAGGCGGAAUGUGACAAGUAGCGGUGAAAUGCAUAGAUAUGUCACAGAACACCAAUUGCGAAGGCAGCUUACUAUGGUUUGAUUGACACUGAGGCACGAAAGCGUGGGGAUCAAACAGG
rnacentral:rRNA from 1 species